CAAUUCAAUGUUAACUUUUAAUAAAAACCUUCACUAAUACAAAUAGAUUCAGCAAUGCAUAUAAAAAGUCUCUUCAAUUUUUAAGACAGGGUCGACUUUGAAGUGUCGAAACGCCUUGGGCUUUCUUUUAACCGCUCUAUCUCACUUAUGCUUUUCUGUAGCCCUUUAUAUGUACAUUAUAUUACUGCAAUGCACUUGCUGUUAGGUUUGGUUUUUAAGAAGUAAUUGGCAAAAUACUCAUAGAUAUUUUCUUAAGAGCUUGAGGCCUUUAAAUCCCAGUGAUGGAGGUUUGUGCAGUUCUUAUCAACUUCGUCAAAUAAAACGGUCAUCUCGGUGAACCAGUUUUCAUGUUUUAACAUUUAGAAUGCAGAAAAACAAACACACUAAAAAACUUAAAAUCUGAUUUGAUAUAUUUAUUUCAGGAGAUUAUUACUGCUGGGCCAAGAAAAAAGAAAGUCUGCUUAUCAGUAAAAGAUUCUGUGUGCUUGGUGGGCCUAGAAGGAGUUCUUCGAAAUGGUGAAUAUGUUGGACAUGUUAGACGCGCUGAUCAUGCAUUCUACUUGGAACAGGAGAUUGCAUAUGCUUAUAUUGAAAAUAAGAAUGAAAAGAUUACUGCGGCCUGGUUGCAAGAUGGAGAAUAUCAAAUAGAAAGCAGAGGAGCUGUUUAUCCUGCAACACUUCACAUCAAGUCCCCAUUUGACCCUAAGAACUCCCGCAUCCGAGGAGAAUACGGAAAUCUGCCUGAAAGCUUGGACAAGCUGAAAAAAGUUGAACUGUUAUCCAACUUUAAAUAAAAUCUGUUUAACAAAAAUAAAACUUUGUGAUAGCUUAUGCACAGCUAUUUAGCAUUAUGUACUUAUAGCUAGUAUUGUACAAUGUAUACAACACGCAUACUUUGUAACACAGCCUGUACAGUACACGUCCAACUUUAAACACUGAAACUAAAAAACUGAAUCCGAAACUUAAUACAGGAUAUUUGGAUGAAACCCAGUAUCGGGAACUUAAUACAGGUAUCGGGAUGAAACCCAGAAUCGGGAACUUAAUACAGGGUAUCGGGAUGAAACCCAGUAUCGGAAACUUAAUACAGGAUAUUGGGAUGAAAUCCAGUAUCGGAAACUUAAUACAGUAUAUUGGGAUGAAACCCAGUAUCGGAAACUUAAUACAGGAUAUCGGGAUGAAAACCAGUAUCGAAACACGGUUUUAACAAUGGAGUUAGACAGUUUUGUAGACACCAAUUUUUUUGUUGAUAAAAUAUUAUUAUUUUUUCCUUUGUAUUCUAUUUUUGUUUUCUAGUUUCUUAAAUCGAAAUCUACACAAAAAAGAAACUUAACGAUACUCUCUUGAAUUUCCGGCUCUUGUGUAAUUGUUUUAAAUUAUCUGUAAAGUAUACACAUUUUUAAUCUUUAUCCUAGUAUAGAUGUAUUUUUUUGCGAAUAAAUCGUGUUAAACUA